rnacentral:rRNA from 1 species
AGAGUUUGAUCAUGGCUCAGAACGAACGCUGGCGGCAGGCCUAACACAUGCAAGUCGAGCGCACCUUCGGGUGAGCGGCGGACGGGUUAGUAACGCGUGGGAACGUGCCCUUCUCUAAGGAAUAGCCACUGGAAACGGUGAGUAAUACCUUAUACGCCCUUCGGGGGAAAGAUUAAUCGGAGAAGGAUCGGCCCGCGUUAGAUUAGAUAGUUGGUGGGGUAACGGCCUACCAAGUCUACGAUCUAUAGCUGGUUUUAGAGGAUGAUCAGCAACACUGGGACUGAGACACGGCCCAGACUCCUACGGGAGGCAGCAGUGGGGAAUCUUGGACAAUGGGCGCAAGCCUGAUCCAGCCAUGCCGCGUGAGUGAUGAAGGCCUUAGGGUCGUAAAGCUCUUUCGCCAGGGAUGAUAAUGACAGUACCUGGUAAAGAAACCCCGGCUAACUCCGUGCCAGCAGCCGCGGUAAUACGGAGGGGGUUAGCGUUGUUCGGAAUUACUGGACGUAAAGCGUACGUAGGCGGAUUAGUCAGUCAGAGGUGAAAUCCCAGGGCUCAACCCUGGAACUGCCUUUGAUACUGCUAGUCUUGAGUUCGAGAGAGGUGAGUGGAAUUCCGAGUGUAGAGGUGAAUUCGUAGAUAUUCGGAGGAACACCAGUGGCGAAGGCGGCUCACUGGCUCGAUACUGACGCCUG